AGAAUUGUGUUUUUGUUUUGUGUGACAUUCUGGCCUACCCUACCUGUAAAUUUUGAGGGCUCUUUUUCUAUAAUAGCAGUUUUGACUUAGCAUCUGACGAAUUUUACAUUUUUUUUUUCAUUUUUAGUGGGAAUUUGAGGUUUCUUCUGCAAUGUAAAUAAUUAUCUUAGUACUUCACGGUGAUUGUUCGUGAAUUUCCGUUUGCGUGUAAAGAACGAUGAGUUGUGUCCUGAAACUUCUUGAUAAUGAUUUUCACUCUAGUCUGUAGCUGCACGAACAAUUGUGUAGAAACUUCUAAAUCGGAUUCCCUUUAUUAAAUUCUCCCGUUAUUUAAUUUUCUACCAUCAAACAUAAAAGGUGAAUUUUUUUUUUAAAAUUUAAAAACAAGAGAGUGGUUUUGAUGAUUGAGAUGCCUUUAUUCGUAUGAUUUUUUAAUUAUUAUUAGUUUCAUGUAAUCCAACAACAAUGAGCACGAUGAGUGAUGAUAAUAACCUUUUCGCGAGGUUCAAUACAUUAUUUCUUAAAGUAAUUUAGUUUUCAAUAAAAAAUAGUUUUAAUUGUUGGAUCCUAUUCAUAUCUAUUUUUUUACAAAGUGAAAAAACCCCUUAAAUCUACACCGUUAAAAAAUUUACAAGAGGAAGUUUACUACAACCACUUGGACUUAUGCAUCAAGACCAAACUCUAACGUGCAAGUUGAAUAAAGCACUUUAUAGACUCGGAUAAGCCUUAUGCGUAUAGUAUGAGAAAUUUUGAACCAAUAGUAUGAGAAAGUUGUAUAUUUCACAUGAGACUUUGGAUGUGUAAUUCGAAUCACAGAUAUCCAUGAGUCAAAUCAACCAAGGUAGAGAGGAAUAUAAAUUUGUUGGAGGUUGUGAGUCGAAUUAUAAUCUGUUCUUGAGUUGAAUCACAAAUCUUUCUCUAGUCAUUUUUUCAACCAUGGUCAAGUUUGACUCGAAUCAUGAGCAUGCCCUAACUUGAAUCAUGGUCUGUUUGAGUUGAAUCAUGAAUUAGUCUUGAGUCGAAUCAUAGAAAAAUGAGUCUCUCUUUGAGUGUUGAUUUUUUUCCACAUUAUUUUGUCAUCCAACUCAAAUCACCAAUUGCUCUUGAUUCAAAUCAAACAUGAUUUAUUCAAUUCUUUUUGUGCUUCAUCUCUAGCAUAUAUAAAUCAUUUUUAUCUCUCAAUAUUUCAUAAUGUUAUAAACCACUUGUUGAUUCAUUUUCACCAAUUUCAUUAUUGAUGAUUUGAAAAUUCACAAACCACUUGUUUUUACAUUUUCAAAAGGAUUUUGAAUCUUUUUUAACACUUGCAAAUGAUUUCUUUCAUCUUCUAUCUCAUUCUUUUUUCAUUGUUGCUUGCAUGAAUUCGAAUCUUAUCUUGAUAGGUUUGUGAUAGAUUUAGGAUAUUUGUUUUUGGAUUUAACGUUUCUUUGAAGAUUUGCUUAAAAUUUUAGAGGUUUGCAAGAUCGUGUGGUGUUGUGACAAUUUCAGUGGAAAAGAUAAAGAUUCUUCUAUCAAGAUUGAUCUUGGUAGUGUUGCGUGGAAGCAUAUGAACAUGAAACUGUUGCAGACGAAGACUUAAGAGCAAGUUGUUGGGACUGAAAGAUUCAAGAAGCGAUCUCGAGUAAAGGUUUCACAUAGAGUUCAGUUUGUGGAGUUGUGUACAAGUCAAGAUCCAAAAUAAAAGAAAUUUUAUUUUCAACAUUUUAUUUGUGGACUAGUGAUUGCACAAACUAUAGUAAUUUGUUGCAAAUCAUAGUGGAAGACCACCGAUUUUUUUAUGGACAACCAUUGGAUAGUGGAUUAAGCAUAAAUCAAAGACGAACAUCUCAAACCAUUAUAAAUUUUGGUGUUCAUCUCUAUCUCUCUCUCAUUUAAUUUUUUAGUUGAUCACAUGAUUAGGUUCUUAUUGCUUUCUAGAAUCGCAUGUUGAUAGAUUUAUCCGCUAGUAGAAUUUGAAACUCAACCUUGUCUGAUUGUGGAUUAAGUCAGAAAACAUUGAUAAUGAAAUCUUAUUUGUAUUGAAAGUUAUCCAAUACCACAUCUUGUGAAAUUGAGUGACUGUGUAAUACAACUAGUUUGCAAAUUUUGGUAUAA